GAAGCAAAGUGUGAGCCCGAGUGUGUACCAAAGUAAUCCCUUGUGUAAUAAAAGUUGAAGAAUUACAAAAGUCUCUUUCCAUAUAGCUACAUAUAUUAAACCUUCCAAACUACCUCCAUUUCUUCAUUUAUCAACUAAACAAAAUCUCUUUCCUUCUUACAUUUAAAGGUCUUCUAUCUUUAAAUUGUUCUCCUACAUAAUCGGAUUUGUUGAGUUCAACUUGCUACAUGCCAUGUUUAUAUUAAAUCAUUAACUAUGGAUUUUUUCAGUUCAACUUGCAAUACUAAGGUUGUAGUAUGACUACCGUCUUAAACCAACCUUAUUGUUUUCUAACCAGUUUGAACAAGUCCGAAGGAAGAUUCUUCUCGAAAGUUAAAGCCCGUUUGACCAAGCUUCUAAAAAUAGUUUAUUUUAAAAAGAGCUUCUCUUAAAAAUACUUUUUUUAUGAGAAGUAAUUUUUAUUUAGCUAAUUAAUUUGAAAAAUAUUUUUGAGCAGUAAUUAGUGUUUGGCCAAGCUUUUAAGAACGGCUUUUAAGAGUAUUUUUCUCAAAAGUGUUUCUCAGAAAAGUGCUUUUAAAGAGAACUAUUUUUUUCUGCUUCUCUAAAACUGCUUGUGCUUCUUAAAAGUAUUUUUUUUUUCCAAAAGCUUGGCCAAACACCUCAAUUUUAGGCCAAAAAAAA
rnacentral:lncRNA from 1 species